rnacentral:rRNA from 1 species
UACGUAGGGUGCGAGCGUUGUCCGGAAUUAUUGGGCGUAAAGGGCUCGUAGGCGGUUUGUCGCGUCGGGAGUGAAAGCUCAGGGCUUAACCCUGAGCCUGCUUCCGAUACGGGCAGACUAGAGGUAUGCAGGGGAGAUCGGAAUUCCUGGUGUAGCGGUGAAAUGCGCAGAUAUCAGGAGGAACACCGGUGGCGAAGGCGGAUCUCUGGGCCGAUACUGACGCUGAGGAGCGAAAGCGUGGGGAGCGAACAGG